AGGUCUUGCCUGCCCAGUGACAAGUUAAACGGCCGCGGUAUUUUGACCGUGCGAAGGUAGCGCAAUCACUUGUCUUUUAAAUGAAGACCUGUAUGAAUGGCGGAACGAGGGCUUAACUGUCUCCCCUUUCAAGUCAAUGAAAUUGAUCUGCCCGUGCAGAAGCGGACAUAAAAAUACAAGACGAGAAGACCCUUUGGAGCUUAAGAUAAAAGACCAACUACGUCAAGGGCCCAUAAAACUUAAGCCAAACUAAGUAACAUCUGAUCAACAUCUUCGGUUGGGGCGACCACGGGAGAAAACAAAGCUCCCAUGCGGAUUGAGGGUUUUACCCUCAAAACCAAGAAAGACAUUUCUAAGUCACAGAAUAUCUGACCAUAAAGAUCCGGCCACUCGCCGAUCAACGGACCAAGUUACCCUAGGGAUAACAGCGCAAUCCCCUUUCAGAGUCCCUAUCGACAAGGGGGUUUACGACCUCGAUGUUGGAUCAGGACAUCCUAAUGGUGCAGCCGCUAUUAAGGGUUCGUUUGUUCAACGAUUAAAGUCCUACGUGAUCU
rnacentral:rRNA from 2 species